CCGAUGACGUCAGCGGUUUUCUAAGUACGAGCAUCAAAGCAUCAUGAAGAAGAUACAUCUGCAGAGACAGAGUUUACUGAAGAACAGAGAGAACAUGAGAGAUCUAGAACCCUGCAGAACCAAACACACUGAAGAACAAACAGGUUGUGUUUAUUCUUCAUCCUUCAGUAAUGAGGCUCAAAAAUGUUUGUGUGUGUAUAUGUGGAUUUCAUCAGUGGCGGGUCACAUGUUCACUCCUACUAUGAUGUUUCUGAUUUUAUUACAUUCAGUGUAAACAGUGAUUUAUAACGGAUCAGUAACAACAAGAUCACAGUUGAAGUUCACACAGUCUGUCUGAGAGAGAAUCUCCUGGAGAAAUCAAAACAAAUGAACACAGCUGCACACAGAAGAAACAUAACCCAUACAGCCCAAUUAAGCAACAUGACACGACCAAAUUUAACAUUUUAAAGCGUUGAAAUUAGUAGUUCAUAUACAUGUUAGUUCAAUAUUUGAUAUAUUGUCAAAGUUGACUGUUUUUGCUCCAUUUGGUUAAUGAAAACGCUUCCAAACGCUUCUCUGAGCAACACACAGCAGUGUUUCGUUACUGAAGGAUUCGUGUUUGUGAAUUUUGAAUCAUUUGAGUCAAUGAUUCAGUUCUCCAUUUAUAAAGACAUGCCCUGUGUCUCAAUGUUCAUACUAUCAUCCUAAAUAGUGUGUGAGAUUAGAAGAAGUGUAUAGAAAUAUAAUGCAGACACCAGUUAAAUGUCCUUGUUAGUUUUUAUCAUAUUUAGUCAACCUUAUCCUGUUUAGUUUUAGUCGACUGAAAGUCUCAACAUUUUAGUCUAGUUUUAGUCAAUGAAAACUUGACAUUUUAGCAGCAAGAUUAUUAUUAAUUAACCACACAGCAGUAUUAAGUUUGGCAGCCAUUUUUUAAUUCAGUCUUAGUUUUACUCAAAUGUACAUUUUAAUUAUCAUAUUUAGUCAACCCUGUCCUGUUUUUGUUUAGUCAAGUUUAAGAAAAUGAAAAGUAUGAGCAUUUUAGUCAGGUUGUAUAACGGCUAAACCGAUCAGAAUUAUUUUUGCUCUAAAUUAUAAUCGUAAAGUUUGUUGUUAUUUGAGAAAUGUACUUUUGUGUUUCAGGUAUUGCUCUUUCACCAGUAAACACAAAGCAACAGAAUGUGGACUCAUACAAAUGGUUUAUUUAACCUCAUGUAAUGUGCUGAUUUAUUAGGCUUUUUAUUAUAGAAAAUAACACCAAAGACUUAUGCACUCAGUCUGUCUAUAAUAUGAAAACUGGUGAAACAAAGAAAAAUAUGAUAACAGCGAAAUCCCUAAUAGUUAUUAGACUAUUUCUAAACUGCAGCAUUGCAUUGUCAGUGACAGCAUUUGAAGAUUGAUUUAUAAAAAUCAUUUCAGGUUUAAGAAGUGUUUCAACAUUGCAUCAGCUACUGAUGAACACAUUGAUUUUAUUUAAAUAAUCACUCUGUUGAUUAUUUAACCAUGUGUUACUUUGUAUUUGGAAGGCGUUUGUCUUUGAAACACAUUAAAACACACAAAUUCACAAACUUUUGUCAUCUGAUCCUCUUUCACCAAAUAUAUUUACUUGAAGUACCCCUGAGAUUUAAAAUAUAUAUAUUUUAAUAAUUAUCACAUUUGCAUGUUCAUGAUUCUUUGAUGUUGGUUAUGUCCACAUGACAUGCAGGUAAACAAAUUAAAUGUUAAACUUUUUUAGUAAGAUUUUAUUUUGAUUGGUUUUAAAAUUAUUUAUUUUAAUGUAUCCUUUUUUAUGAUUUAAUUAAUUAGCUUUUUAUUAAAGUCACAAACCCUAGUUUGGGAAACCUUGAUGUAAUGUUUAAUGCACUUCAUGUUAAUAACAACAAAUGGAAUAUAUAUAUUUAUUAGUCAUGGGCCGGUAUGAGAUUUUGAUGGUAUGAUAACCUUAAGCAAACAUAUCACGGUUUCACAGUAUUGUUCUUACAGCUCUGAAAUGAUUGAGAAUCAUGAGUCAGUUCGGGAGUUCGGAGCGAGUUCGCGGAUCAUUUGAGUCAGUUCGGGAGUUCAAAGCCGGUUCGCGAAUCAUUUGAGUCAGUUUGGGGAUCGCGAAUCAUUUGAAUCAGUUCGGGAGUUCGUAGCGGGAUCGCGAAUCAUUUGAAUCAGUUCGGGAGUUCGUAGCGGGAUCGCGAAUCAUUUGAGUCAGUUCGGGAGUUCGAAGCGGCUUCGCGAAUCAUUUGAAUCAGUUCGGGAGUUCGGAGCGGUUUCGUGAAUCAUUUGAGUCGGUUCGGGAGUUCAAAGCGGGUUCGCGAAUCAUUUGAGUCAGUUUGGAGAUCGCGAAUCAUACACAGCAAAAAUUGGAGUUUAUUUCAACACCCAAAGAGUAAUUUUAACACAUUCAGAGUAAAAUGGUGUUUGGUGUUGGAGUUAUUUCACAGAGUUGAUCAUCAUUGUUAAACAAACUCCACAGAGACGUAAUUAGACUCCGCCCACGCAUUUCCAAUCGUCGCUGGUGAAAUCCAUGAAGACGUUGCCAUUAUCCUCGUGUGGCUUUGAAAGGUAAGAUAAAUUUAAUCAUACUUUUACAUUUAUGAUUGGUGCUUAUUCAGUAGAGAAUGUACAGCAUAACGUGCUAUGGAGCACUGUGCAUAAACGUAUAUUAGGCUGUGUGUGUGCAUUCGCUUCCACAUUUCAAGUUAACGUACAUCGUGGCAGCGGUUUACGCUCGAGCUUUUCGAUUUAACAGCUUGGUCUCUAAUAAAUAUGCUUUACCGAAUUAAUAAAACGAGCGAUCUUUUACAAAGCCUCGUUUAUUGCCAUCGUCGACGUGAUUAGCUUCGUUAGCUAGCUAAGUUACUGUACGAACAGCAGAAGUAUGUGAAGCUGGACUGCAUUUAAGAGAGGUUUAACUUUAUGCAAUUUCACAUCAAAGGUUGUUUUUUUUUCUUACUCCUUUAAAAUAACUAAGAAUUUGAUUAAAAUCUGAUAAAUUCUGUUUAUUGUGUUGUUGCCUCAUUUCUGUAUUUGCCUUUAUCACAUACUUUUCUGUAGAAGGGGAUGUAUUGAUAAAAUAAAAAUUAUUCAUAUUUACAUUUUGCUUGCAUCAUAAAAAAAAACAUGUUUUCGGAUCAGACAUUUGUUGUGAAGCAAGAAAGGGCGUCAACUUAAAUAUUUUUUUCUUCUUUUUUCAGUCAUUGAGAAAUUUUGCUUGCCACCUAAUGCAAAAGUUACAUACAAGGAUGCAACAGGGACAGAAGUCGAUGCAGAAAUAUUCAGCGACCUCAUUGGACAAGGCAAUGUGGUGCUGACUGUUUUCUCAAAUGAUGAAUUCUCAGACUCUUUGUCUUCCAUAUCUGAGAAGUCUGACAAAAGCAACAGUUCAAGUGCAUCGACUGUAAUCUUUCAUGAGGUCCCUAACAAGAGACAAAGAAAAGAGGACACACCUGCACUGUCUGCAAAACGGGCAACUCCCUACUUAAGCUAUCGGAGAACAGUAUGCUGUUUGCAUAGUGAUACUGUUCCCUCAAAGAUCCAUAUUCCAAGAAAGGCUACGAACACUUUUAUGAUGCUGCAAGCAACAUAGGAUACAUUGCUUGGCAUAUGAAAACAGUCCACAGGAAGAUGAGACGAGGAUCUUUGCCACUAGACAGCCCUCAUGAUGUUUCUCCAGGAGGCCCAAAAUGCCAAAAAGCUACUAAUUUUGAAGGGCAACUUGAUGGGAGUUCUUGCAGAGAGGCCAUGUCUUUGCUCAGCCAAACCACAGAGAAUUCCCUAAUAUUCCAAAAGAUGAGAGAGACCUUUCAGCAUCGCCAAGAGCUUAUUAAAGAUCCAGGCUCUAGUGUUGAUAUCCUCUCCACAUUCCCAUGAUUCAUAGAUACAAAAGGAAUAACAUGUUUUCACAAGAAUUCAAUUUGAGAACAUUGUUUAUAGUUUAAUAUCUUCUUAAAGGUUGGUCAAGACUUCACUCUCCUGUUUAACACUGAGACAUCCUCCAGGCUGCUUCAGAAGAGGGACACACUCUUCAGGCCAAAUGUCAUUAAAGACACCAAGCAACUUACUUCAACAGCAGAGAUGAGUCAGUUGUUGCUCUCAGCAGAAUGUCCUGAAGGAAGUGACCUUCAUGAGACAAUUUUUUCUUCAUGUGAAUUUCGUCUUUAGUUUACGACCGGGAAAUGGCAUCCCUUCUUUAACUGAUACAUCUCCUUCCACCAUCACCAGGAGGAGUGAAGUCUCCAAAAACAGUCCAUGUGAUGCUGCUGAAAGACUUGUAAUCUUUCAUAAGUCAUGCUGCAGUUUGGAGGAGCCCCUCAACAACAUCCAGCAUCAGCAUCCCUACCUCCUUGCUGUUGGACGCCAGAAAAGCAAGACUGAGUGCUUCUACAUCAUCUUGGAUAAGCAUCUCAUCCCAUGCCAGGCAAACCGCUCCCUUGGAGCAUUUGAUGAACUUUUCAAGGCACAUUUUGAGUUAAAUUUGUCCUAUGAUGGUGCACUUCUGAACUUUUUUACACAUUCCUGCAGACAACAGUGUAUAACAUUGAUGAAAGUAAAAUGAGUCUCCCAGGGUUGGAGAUUUGAGAGUAGUAUGAUGUUGACAGAAUGCUAAUUUAUUUGUCAAAAAGAGCACCCAGACAGUCAACAGUUGAUUUCAUAUUUAAGAGGUGAGAAUUACAAAUAAACAAGUCAUUGGCAAAAA